rnacentral:sRNA from 1 species
GCUGGGUGGUGUGGUGCACACCUGUAAUCCCAAUGGCUCGGAGGUUGAGAUAGGAGAAUUUCGAGUUCAAAGCCAGCCUCAGCAAUGGCGAGGCGCUAAGCAACUCAGUGAGACCCUGUCUCUG